rnacentral:rRNA from 1 species
GACGAACGCUGGCGGCGUGCUUAACACAUGCAAGUCGAACGAAGUGGCGAACGGGUGAGUAACGCGUAAUCAACCUGCCCUUCAGAGGGGGACAACAGUUGGAAACGACUGCUAAUCCCGCAUACUGAAGGAGGGGAUUGCGUCUGAUUAGCUAGUUGGCGGGGUAACGGCCCACCAAGGCGAUGAUCAGUAGCCGGUCUGAGAGGAUGAAGGGCCACAUUGGGAACGGGAAACGGCCCAGACUCCUACGGGAGGCAGCAGUGGGGAAUCUUCCGAAAUGGACGAAAGUCUGGCGGAGCAACGCCGCGGGGGUGAUGACGGCCUUCGGGUUGUAAAGCUCUGUUAAUCGGGACGCGGUACCGGAAUAGAAAGCCACGGCUAACUACGUGCCAGCAGCCGCGGUAAUAC